rnacentral:rRNA from 1 species
UAUCUCUGUAGAGUCUGCAUAUCAAUAAGCGGAGGAAAAGAAACUAACUAGGAUUCCCUUAGUAACGGCGAGUGAAGCGGGAAGAGCUCAAAUUUGAAAUCUUCAAGGUUUUACCUUGACGAAUUGUAGUUUAAAGAAGUGUUUUCUGUUGGUAGUUUUGGUAAAAGUUCUUUGGAAUAGGACAUCAUAGAGGGUGAGAAUCCCGUAUUUGACCAUUAUUUCCAGCUUUGUGAUACACUUUCAAAGAGUCGGAUUGUUUGGGAAUGCAGUCCAAAAUGGGUGGUAAAUUUCAUCUAAAGCUAAAUACUGGCGAGAGACCGAUAGCGAACAAGUACCGUGAGGGAAAGAUGAAAAGAACUUUGAAAAGAGAGUUAAACAGUACGUAAAAUUGUCAAAAGGGAAGCGUUUGACACCAGUGUUGUUUUCUCGAAAAUCAAUUAAAAAAGGCAGGAUUUUGUGUUGUAUUGACUUUAUCAGCUUUCUGCACUCUUUUCUUGUCCUUUUUUAAUGCACUUUUCGUUUAACAAGUCAACAUCAAUUUCUUUUGUUGUAAAAGGGUCAUUGGAAGGUGGCUUUCUUUUCGGAGAAAGUGUUUAUAGCCUUUGGCCUCUGCAAUCGGAGAGAUUGAGGUCUGCAGCGUAGAUCCUUCGGGAUUAGAUACAUUUGUGCUUAGUUAUAGCCUUUCAUAGACAACUUGUUGACUAUGAUCAGUCAUGUAGCUUACUCGCUUAUGCUAUUUUACCUACGCUUAGGAUGUUGAAGAUGUAGCACAUCAU